UACGUAGGGGGCUAGCGUUGUCCGGAAUCAUUGGGCGUAAAGCGCGCGUAGGCGGCCCGGUAAGUCCGCUGUGAAAGUCAAAGGCUCAACCUUUGAAUGUCAGCGGAUACUGCCGGGCUAGAGUCCGGAAGAGGCGAGUGGAACUCCUGGUGUAGCGGUGGAAUGCGCAGAUAUCAGGAAGAACACCAACGGCGAAGGCAGCUCGCUGGGACGGAACUGACGCUAAGGCGCGAAAGCGUGGGGAGCGAGCGAGG
rnacentral:rRNA from 1 species